rnacentral:rRNA from 1 species
UACAGAGGGGGCAAGCGUUGUCCGGACUGACUGGGCGUAAAGCGCACGCAGGCGGUCACGGGCGUCGGUGCUGAAAGUGCGCCGCUUAACGGCGCAAUGCGUAUCGAUACGCCGUGACUGGAGCAAUGCAGAGGCCAGUGGAAUUGCCGGUGUAGUGGUGAAAUGCGCAGAUAUCAGGAGGAACACCGGUGGCGAAGGCGGGUCUCUGGGAAUAUCCUGACGCUGAGGAGCGAAAGUGUGGGGAGCGAACAGG